UGGCACCCUGUCUCCCUGCCAGAUGUGAAUGCAGUGCCGAUGCCAGGAUCCAAAUGGUAGUCUACUGCUGGUGGCAACGACAAUAAAGUGUUACCUCUCCUUUGGAUAAAGACAACACACAUGGAGUACGCCGUACCUGCCUCAUCAUACAAAAGAUUGUUGUUGUUAAACAUUGGAGGAGGCAAAGCUCAUCUGUUCCAGCUUCAUCUCCUGAUUUUACAUAAAGCUACAUCUGCAAGAGGAUGGCUUCACUGAUCUUGCUGUGUAACACCAGGAGCUUACUAAUGAAGACGUGGAAUAUAGAUGAAGAAAGAGGCCCAGGUAAGGAUGAAGAGAGAUG